AAAACAAAACUUAGCAGUAUUUUACUCUUCUGUGUGUCCAGGGCCCACUUGCACAAAGCGAUCUUAGCGCUACGACUGCCUUAGACUAUGUUGGAGAAUGGUAGUUACAACCAUUGUGGCGCUAACAUCGCUUUGUGCAAGUCAGUCCUGAAGUCUG